UACGAAGGGGGCUAGCGUUGUUCGGAAUCACUGGGCGUAAAGCGCACGUAGGCGGAUCUUUUAAGUCAGGGGUGAAAUCCCGAGGCUCAACCUCGGAACUGCCUUUGAUACUGGGGAUCUCGAGUCCGGGAGAGGUGAGUGGAACUGCGAGUGUAGAGGUGAAAUGCGUAGAUAUUGGGAGGAACACCAGUGGCGAAGGCGGCUCACUGGCCCGAUACUGACGCUGAGGCGCGAAAGCGUGGGGAGCAAACAGG
rnacentral:rRNA from 1 species